CAGCAUGUAGCACCCCGGGCUUAUCUGAAAAAACAUUUAUCAAAUGAAGAAAUUAAGCCCCAAUGCUCGUGCUAUAUCAUACGCCGUCAAGUGUUACAGUUCAGCUCUUUUUGUACCCUUUUUCUAUGGCUGUUUUUGUGUCAAAUCGUCGGCUACAAUU